rnacentral:rRNA from 1 species
AGGUAAGCUACUAAGAGCGAAUGGUGGAUGCCUUGACUGGUAAAGGCGAUGAAGGACGUACUAGACUGCGAUAAGCUACGGGGAGCUGUCAAGAAGCUUUGAUCCGUAGAUUUCCGAAUGGGGCAACCCAAUGUAUAGAGAUAUACAUUACCUAUAUAGGAGCGAACGAGGGGAAUUGAAACAUCUUAGUACCCUCAGGAAAAGAAAUCAAUAGAGAUUGCGUCAGUAGCGGCGAGCGAAAGCGUAAGAGGGCAAACCCAGUGCUUGCACUGGGGGUUGUAGGACUGCAAUGUGCAAGAGGUGAGUUUAGCAGAACAUUCUGGAAAGUAUAGCCAUAGAGGGUGAUAGUCCCGUAUGCGAAAAACAAACCUUAGCUAGCAGUAUCCUGAGUAGGGCGGGACACGAGAAAUCCUGUCUGAAGCUGGGUCGACCACGAUCCAACCCUAAAUACUAAUACCAGAUCGAUAGUGCACAAGUACCGUGAGGGAAAGGUGAAAAGAACUGAGGUGAUCAGAGUGAAAUAGAACCUGAAACCAUUUGCUUACAAUCAUUCAGAGCACUAUGUAGCAAUACAG